AGAGUUUGAUCAUGGCUCAGAUUGAACCCUGGCGGCAGGCCUAACACAUGCAAGUCGAGCGGUAGAGAGAAGCUUGGUUCUCUUGAGAGCGUGAGAAGGGUGAUUAAUGCCUAGGAAUCUGCCUGGUAGUGGGGGAUAACGUUCGGAAACAAACGCUAAUACCGCAUACUUCCUGCCGGAGAAAGCAGGGGACCUUCGGGCCUUGCGCUAUCAUAUGAGCCUAGGUCGGAUUAGCUAGUUGGUGAGGUAAUGGCUCACCAAGGCGACGAUCCGUAACUGGUCUGACAGGAUGAUCAGUCACACUGGAACUGAUACACGGUCCAGACUCCUACGGGAGGCAGCACUGGGGAAUAUUGGACAAUGGGCGAAAGCCUGAUCCAGCCAUGCCGCGUGUGUGAAGAAGGUCUUCGGAUUGUAAAGCACUUUAAGUUGGGAGGAAGGGCAUGUACCUAGUACGUGAUUGUUUUGACGUUACCGACGAAAUAAGCACCGGCUAACUCUGUGCCAGCAGCCGCGGUAAUA
rnacentral:rRNA from 1 species